AGUGAACGCUGGCGGUAGGCCUAACACAUGCAAGUCGAACGGCAGCACAGUAAGAGCUUGCUCUUACGGGUGGCGAGUGGCGGACGGGUGAGGAAUACAUCGGAAUCUACUUUUUCGUGGGGGAUAACGUAGGGAAACUUACGCUAAUACCGCAUAUGACCUACGGGUGGAAGCAGGGGAUCUUCGGACCUUGCGCGAUUGAAUGAGCCGAUGUCGGAUUAGCUAGUUGGCGGGGUAAAGGCCCACCAAGGCGACGAUCCGUAGCUGGUCUGAGAGGAUGAUCAGCCACACUGGAACUGAGACACGGUCCAGACUCCUACGGGAGGCAGCAGUGGGGAAUAUUGGACAAUGGGCGCAAGCCUGAUCCAGCCAUACCGCGUGGGUGAAGAAGGCCUUCGGGUUGUAAAGCCCUUUUGUUAGGAAAGAAAAGCAGCAGGUUAAUACCCCGCUGUUCUGACGGUACCCAAAGAAUAAGCAACGGCUAACUUCGUG
rnacentral:rRNA from 1 species